rnacentral:rRNA from 1 species
UACGUAGGGACCAAGCGUUGUUCGGAUUUACUGGGCGUAAAGGGCGCGUAGGCGGCAAAUUAAGUCAGCUGUGAAAUCUCCGAGCUUAACUCGGAACUGUCAGCUGAUACUGAUGUGCUAGAGUGCGGAAGGGGCAAUCGGAAUUCUUGGUGUAGCGGUGAAAUGCGUAGAUAUCAAGAGGAACACCUGAGGUGAAGACGGGUUGCUGGGCCGACACUGACGCUGAGACGCGAAAGCGUGGGGAGCGAACAGG